UGGGUAGUCCGCACGAGCGCAACCCCUAUCCUUAUUUGCCAGCACGUAAUGGUGGGAACUCUAGGGAGACUGCCGGUGAUAAACCGGAGGAAGGUGGGGACGACGUCAAGUCAUCAUGGCCCUUACGAGUAGGGCUACACACGUGCUACAAUGGCGUAUACAGAGGGUUGCAAAGCCGCGAGGUGGAGCUAAUCUCACAAAGUACGUCGUAGUCCGGAUCGGAGACUGCAACUCGACUCCGUGAAGUCGGAAUCGCUAGUAAUCGUGGAUCAGAAUGCCACGGUGAAUACGUUCCCGGGCCUUGUACACACCGCCCGUCACACCAUGGGAGUGGGCUGCAAAAGAAGUGGGUAGUUUAACCUUCGGGAGAACGCUCACCACUUUGUGGUUCAUGACUGGGGUGAAGUCGUAACAAGGUAGCCCUAGGGGAACCUGGGGCUGGAUCACCUCCUU
rnacentral:rRNA from 1 species